rnacentral:lncRNA from 10 species
CUGCUUUCCACAGUGGCUGAAUUAAUGUACACUCCCACCAGCAGUGUAUAAGCAUUUCCUUUUCUCUACAACCUUGCCAACACGUUUAGUUUUCAUUUUUUUGACUUCUUAGUAAUAGCCAUUCUGACUGGUGUGAGAUGGUAUCUCAUUGCGGUUUUGAUUUGCAUUUCUCCAACGAUUAGUGAUGCUGAGCAUUUUUCAUAUGCUUUUUGGCCACAUGCAUGACUUCGUAUCUUCUUUUUUUUUUUUUGAGACGGAGUCUUUCUCUGUUGCCCAUGCUGGAGUGCAAUGGCACAAUCUGACCUCACUGCAACCUCCGCCUCCCGGGAUCAAGUGAUUCUCCUGCCUCAGCCUCCUGAGUAGCUGGGAUUAUAGGCAUGCACCACCAUGCCCAGCUAAUUUUUUUAUUUUUAGUAUAGAUGGGGUUUCACCAUGCUGGCCAGGUGGUCUUGAACUCCUGACUUCAUGAUCCAUACCCCUCAGCCUCCCAAAGUGCUGGGAUUACAGGCAUGAGCCACGGCACCUGACAUGUCUUCUUUUGAAAAGUGUCUGUUCCUGUCCUUAGUCGGUUGUUUGUUUUUAUGCUUGUUAAGUUCCUUAUAGAUUCUGGAUAUUACACCUUGGUCAGACACAGUUUGUAAAUAUUUUCUUCCAUUCUGUAGAUGAUCUGUUUACACCAUUGAUAGUUUCUAUUGUUGUGCAGGAGUUCUUUAGUUUAAUUAAGUCUCACUUGUCUAUUUCGUUUUUGUUGCACUUGCUCUUUGAGCCUUCAUCAUGUAAUCUUUGUCAAGACCUAUAUCUAGAAUGGUAUUUUCUAGUUUUCUUUUGGGAUUUUUAUAGUUUUAAGUCUUUCAUUUAAGUCUUUAAUCAAUCUUGAGGUGAUUUUUGUAUACGGUGAAAGAAAGGGGUUCUGUUUCAUUCUUCUGCAUGGCUAGUCAUUUAUCCCAGAAUCAUUUAUUGAAUAGGGAAUCCUUUUCCCAUUGCCUGUUAUUGUUGACUUUGUUGAAGAUUAGAUGGUUGUAGGUGUGCAGCUUUAUUUUUGGGUUCUCUAACCUUCUCCAUUGGUCUGUGUUUCUGUUUUUGUACCAGUAUCGUGUAGUUUUGGUUACGAUAGCCUUGUAGUAUACUUUAAAGUUGGGCAACUGAUGUCUCUGGCUUUGUUCUUUUUGCUUAGGAUUACUUUGGCUAUUCAGGCUGUUUAUUGGUCUAUUAACUUUAGAAUAGUUUACUCUAAUUAUGUGGAAAAUAAUUUUGGUAGAUUGAUAGAAAUAGCAUAGAAUUUGUAAACUGCUUUGGGCAGUAUGACCAUUUUAACAAUAUUGAGUCUUCCUACAUGAGCGUGGAGUGUUUUUCCAUUUGUUUGUGUAGUCUCCGAUUUCUAUCAGCAGUGUUUUGUAAUUCUCAUUGUAGAGAUCUUUCACCUCCCUGGUAAGCUGUAUUCCUAGGUAUUUUAUUCUUUUUGUGGCUACUGUGAAUGGUAUUGUGUUCUUGAUUUGGCUCUCAGCUUGGACUUUACUGCUGAUAGAAAUGCUGCAAAUUUUUUAAUGUUAAUUUUGUAUCUUAAAACUUCACUGAAGUUGUCCAUCAAUUCUAGCAGCCUUUGGGCAGAGACUGUGGGGAUUUCAGGGCAUGAAUUAUAUUGUCUAUAAAGAGAGAUAGUUUGACUUUAUCUCUUCCUAUUUGGAUGCCUUUUGUUUCUUUCUCUUGCCUGAUUGCUUUAGCUAGGAAUUCCAGUACCAUGUUGAACAGGAAUGGUGAGUGUGAGCAUCGUUGUUGUGUUCCAGUUCUCAAGGGAAAUGCUUCUAGCUUUUGCUUAUUCAGUCUGAUGUCGGCUGUGGGUUUGUCACAGAUGGCUCUUGUUAUUUUGAGGUAUGUUCCUCCUAUGCCUAGUUUUUGAGGGUUUUUAACAAAAAGGGAUGUUGAAUUUUAUCAAAAGCCUUUCUGCAUCUAUUGAGAUGAUCAUUUGGUUUUAGUUUUCAGUUUUGCUUAUGCGAUGAAUCACAUUUAUUGAUUUGCAUAUGUUGAACCAACCUUGGAUCCCAGGAAUAAAGCCUACUUGAUUGUGGUGGAUUAGCUUUUUGAUGUGUUGCUGGAUUCGGUUUGCUAUUAUUUUGUUGAGAAUUUUUGCAUCUAUAUUCAUCAAGGAUAUUGGCCUGAAGUUUUCUUUAUUGUUAUGUAUCUGCCUGGUUUUGGUAUCAGGAUGAUGCUGGCUUCAUAGAGUGAGUUAGGGAGAAGUCUCUUCUUGAUUUUUUGAAACAAUAUAAGUAGGAUUGGUACCAGCUCUUUUUUGUAUGUCUGGUAGAAUUUUGUUGUGUAUCCAUCUGGUACAGGGCUUUUUCUGGUUGGCAGUUUUUUCUUUACUACGGAUUCAAUUUGGAAACUUGUUAUUAGUCAGUUCAAGAUUUAAAUUUCUUCCUUAUUUAAUCUUGGGAGAUUGUAUUUUUCUAAGAAUUUAUCCAGUUCUUCUAGCUUUUCUAGUGUGUGUACAUGGAGGUGUUUCUAACAGUGUCGAGGUUUUUUUUUUUUUUUUUUUUUUGGUAUUUCUGUCGGGUUGAUGGUAAUGUCAUCUUUGUCAUUUCUGAUUGCAUCUAUUUGGAUCUUCUCUGUCUCUUUUUUUUAAUUAACCUAGCUACUGGUCUAUCAAUCUUCUUUAUUGUUUCAAAGAACACAAAGAACAAACUUUUUGUUUUUAUUCAUUCUUUUUAUGGAUAUUGCAUCUCAAUUUAAUUCAGUUCAGCUCAGAUUUUUGUUAUUUCUUUUCUUCUGCUACCUUUGGGGUUGGUUUGCUCUUAUCUUUCUAGUUCCUCUAGGUGUGAUGUUAGGUUCUUAAUUUGAGAUCUUUCUUCUUGAUAUAGAUGUUUAGUGCAAUAAACUUUCCUCUUAACACUGCUUUAGCUGUGUCCCAGAGAUUCUGGUAUGUUGUAUCUUUGUUUUCAUUAGUUUCAAAGAAUUUGAAUUUUGCCUUAAUUUUAUUUUUUACCCAAAAGUCAUUCAGGAGCAGAAGCAAGAAAAUUGUUUAAUUUUCUUGUAAUUGUAUGGUUUUGAGAGGUCUUCUUCAUACUGAUUUCAAUGUUUAUUGCACUGUGGUCUGACAGUGUGAUUUAUGAUUUCAAUUGUUUUGAAUUUGUUGAGAAUUGCUUUACAGUUGAGCAUGUGCUCAAUCUUAGAGUAUGUUCUGUGUGUGGAUGAAAAUAAUGUAUAUUUUGUUGUUCUUGGGUGGAAUAUCCUGCAGAUGUCUGUUAGAUCCCUUUGGCCAAGUAUUGAGUUUUUGUCCCAAAUAUCUUUGUUAGUUUUCUGCCUUGAUUAUCUCUCUAGCACUGUCAGUGGGGUGUUGAUGUCUCCCACUAUUAUUGUAUGGUUAUGUGUGUUUCUUCAUAGGUCUCUAAGAACUUGUUUUGUGAAUUUGUUUGCUCCAAUGUUAGGUGCAUAUAUAUUUAUGAUAGUUCACUCUUUUUGUAUAAUUGAACGCUUUAUCAUUAUGUUAUGCCCUUCUUUGUUCUUUUUGAUCACUAUUGGUUUAAAGCAUUUUUUUUUAAUCUAAAGUAAGAACAUCAACCCCUGCUCUUUUUUGUUUUCUGUUUGCUUGAUAGAUCUUUCUCCAUCCCUUUACUUUGAGCCUAUGGGUGUGGCUGCAUGUGAGAUGGAUCUCUUGAAGACAGCAUACAGUUGUGUCUUGCUUCUUUAUCCAACCUGUUGCUCUUUGCUUUUUGAGGGGCAUUUAGCUCAUUUACAUUUAAGAUCAAUAUUGAUAUGUGAGGAUUUGAUUGCCAUUGUGUUGUUAGCAGGUUAUUAUGUACACUUGAUUGUAUAGUUGCUUUAUAGUGUCAGUGGGCUAUGUACUUACAUGUGGUUUUGUGGUGGCAGGUAUCAAUCUUUCAUUUUCACAUUUAGUACUCCAUUAAGUACCUCUUGUAAGGCAGGUCUGGUCAUCACAAAUUCCUUUAGCACUUGCUUGUCUGAAAAGGAUUUUAUUUCUCCUUAAUUUAUGAAGCUUAGUUUGGCCAGAUAUGAAAUUCUUGGUUAGAAUUUCUGUUCUUUAAGGAUGCUUACUAUAGGGCCCCAAUCUCUUCUGUCUUAUAAGGUUUCUGCUAAAAGAUCUGCUCUUAGCCUGAUGGGUUUCCCUUUAUAAGUGACCUGUCCCUUUGCUCUAGCUGCCUUUAAGAGUUUUUCUUUUGCAUUGACCUUGGAUAAUCUGAUGACUAUGUGUCUUAGUAAUGGUCAUGUUGUAUAAUAGCUCACAGGGGUUCUCUGAAUUUUCUGGAUUUAUUGUCAGCCUCUCUAGUAAGGUUGAGGAAAUUUUCAUGGACAAUAUACUCAAAUAUAUUUUCCAAGUUUCUUUCUAUCUGUCUUUUUCAAGAAUGCUAAUGAAUCAUAGGCUUGUUCUCUUCAUAUAAUCCCACAUUUCUUGGAGGUUUUGUUCAUAUUUUAAUUCUUUUUUUUGGAUUUGUUUGCCUGUAUUGAUUCAAAGGAGUGGUCUUUGAGCUCUGAAAGUCUUUCCUCAGCUUGGUCUAUUUUCUUAUUAAUGCUUCCAAUUGUGUUAUAAAAUUCAUGUAGUAAAUUUUUCAUUUACAGAAUUUCAAUUUGGUUCUUUCUUAAAAUUGUUAUGUUAUCUUUCAACUCAUGGAUCAUUUUACUGCUUUCCUAGAAUUAGGUUUUAACCUUCUUCUGCAUCUCAUUGAGUUUCCUUGCUAUCCCGAUUCUGAAUUCUUUGUCUGUCAUUUCAGCCAUUUCAGUCUGGUUAAGAAUCAUUGCUGGGGAGCUAGUGUGAUCAUUUGGAGGUAAGAAGACACUUUUACUUUUACAGUUGUCAGAAUUCUUUUGCUGGGUUUUUUCUCAUCUGUGUUAGCUGAUGUUUCUUUAAAUUUUGAAGUUGUUGUCCGUUGGAUGGUGCUUUUUGCCUUUACGCUUUUUGAAACCUUUGAGGGUCUGACUGUGGUAAAAGUUGUGUUUGGUUGAUGGAGCUCAUUUCUGGGUGCUUUCAUGGACCAGGGCUCAGCUCGGCAUCCCUGGACUGGUAAAAGUUGUGUUUGGUUGAUGGAGCUCAUUUCUGGGUGCUUUCAUGGACCAGGGCUCAGCUCGGCAUCCCUGGACUGGUAAAAGUUGUGUUUGGUUGAUGGAGCUCAUUUCUGGGUGCUUUCAUGGACCAGGGCUCAGCUCGGCAUCCCUGGACUGGUAAAAGUUGUGUUUGGUUGAUGGAGCUCAUUUCUGGGUGCUUUCAUGGACCAGGGCUCAGCUCGGCAUCCCUGGACUGGUAAAAGUUGUGUUUGGUUGAUGGAGCUCAUUUCUGGGUGCUUUCAUGGACCAGGGCUCAGCUCGGCAUCCCUGGACUGGUAAAAGUUGUGUUUGGUUGAUGGAGCUCAUUUCUGGGUGCUUUCAUGGACCAGGGCUCAGCUCAGCAUCCCUGGACUGGUAAAAGUUGUGUUUGGUUGAUGGAGCUCAUUUCUGGGUGCUUUCAUGGACCAGGGCUCAGCUCAGCAUCCCUGGACUGCAUAGUCUAAACUUGGAGGGUUGGGACCAGGUUCACAGGUUUGUUCUCUGGCCCCUUUAGGUCAAGUUCCUGCUAUGCUGGGGUGACUGAGGUGUCCUCAGUCCACUACUAACAACAUUUUGGUGGGGGCUGCCAGUCAAAGCGCUCCAGUGUGGUGAUGGGGAGCCGCAGGAGAGUGCGCUGUAGUGUGGAGGCCAUGGGUGAGCAUGCACUGGCAGGGCAGUGGGCAGUCAUGGGCAAGUGCAUGGUGGUGGAAUGGCUAUGGGAGUGUGUGUUCGCAGAGAAGGGUGUGAGAAGAAU